rnacentral:rRNA from 1 species
UACGAAGGGGCUAGCGUUGCUCGGAUUGACUGGGCGUAAAGGGCGCGUAGGCGGUUCGUACAGUCAGACGUGAAAUUCCUGGGCUCAACCUGGGGGCUGCGUUUGAUACGUGCGGACUUGAGUGCGGAAGAGGGUCGUGGAAUUCCCAGUGUAGAGGUGAAAUUCGUAGAUAUUGGGAAGAACACCGGUGGCGAAGGCGGCGACCUGGUCCGAUACUGACGGCUGAGGCGCGAAAGCGUGGGGAGCAAACAGG